rnacentral:tRNA from 1 species
GACUCCGUGGCGCAACGGUAGCGCGUCCGACUCCAAAUCGGGAGUGGAUAACGACACAGUGAAAACAUUCAGUUCAACUUACUCGGAUUUG